rnacentral:rRNA from 1 species
CCUACGGGUGGCAGCAGUGAGGAAUAUUGGUCAAUGGACGAGAGUCUGAACCAGCCAAGUAGCGUGAAGGAUGACUGCCCUAUGGGUUGUAAACUUCUUUUAUAGAGGAAUAAAACGAGGCACGUGUGCCUUUUUGCAUGUACUUUAUGAAUAAGGAUCGGCUAACUCCGUUCCAUAAGACGCGGUAAUACGGAGGAUCCGAGCGUUAUCCGGAUUUAUUGGGUUUAAAGGGAGCGCAGAUGGGUUGUUAAGUCAGUUGUGAAAGUUUGCGGCUCAACCGUAAAAGUGCAAUGGAUACUGGCAGUCUUGAGUACAGUUGAGGUAAGCGGAAUUCGUGGUGUAGCGGUGAAAUGCUUAGAUAUCACGAAGAACCCCGAUUGCGAAGGCGGCUUACUGGACAGUAACUGACGUUGAGGCUCGAAAGCGUGGGGAGCAAACAGGAUUAGAUACCCGUGUAGUC